rnacentral:rRNA from 1 species
CUAAUACCGGAUAACACUCCUGCCUGCAUGGGUGGGGGUUGAAAGCUCCGGCGGUGAAGGAUGAGCCCGCGGCCUAUCAGCUUGUUGGUGGGGUAAUGGCCUACCAAGGCGACGACGGGUAGCCGGCCUGAGAGGGCGACCGGCCACACUGGGACUGAGACACGGCCCAGACUCCUACGGGAGGCAGCAGUGGGGAAUAUUGCACAAUGGGCGAAAGCCUGAUGCAGCGACGCCGCGUGAGGGAUGACGGCCUUCGGGUUGUAAACCUCUUUCAGCAGGGAAGAAGCGCAAGUGACGGUACCUGCAGAAGAAGCGCCGGCUAACUACGUGCCAGCAGCCGCGGUAAUACGUAGGGCGCAAGCGUUGUCCGGAAUUAUUGGGCGUAAAGAGCUCGUAGGCGGCUUGUCACGUCGGAUGUGAAAGCCCGGGGCUUAACCCCGGGUCUGCAUUCGAUACGGGCUAGCUAGARUGUGGUAGGGG